UUUUUUCACAUAUUAAGCAAAACUGAAGCAUAGAAUAGGAGCAAACUAUAUAAAACAAGCAAAAUUAAGCUCUGUUACAACUUUAGGUUUAUGAAACCAAAAUCUAGACGAUAAUAUUUAAAAAAAAAAUACUUGCAAUACAACCAAAUAUUAUAUCAGACACAUUGCUACGAACAAAAGCACAAAAAGCUGGUUAACGAAGAAAUCCCAGAAUCGCACACAGCUCAGACAACAACGAGAAUGAGAGAAACUCCCAUCCAGGAUCCGCAUUCAAACAUCACAUUAUGCCUGUAGCAACAUUUAACAAAAACAAAAAAACACGAUUAUAUUAAAAAAUAAUAAUACUAAUAAUAAUAAUAAGAGAAUAUAUUUUUAAAACGAUGCAAGAUCACAUGCCUUGUUAGCAAUGUUGUUAGAGAGCCAAUCGAGACCCUCGUAAAGUCCUUCACCGGAAGUUGCACAGGUGCUCUGGAUGUACCUGUGGUAAAGCAACAUAAGGUUAAUACUAUAAUGAUAUUGGAUGACCACUAGUCUGAUGGUCAAUCAGACUGGUGGAUAGUCAUCCCAUUAUCAGAUGACUAGUGCAAAUUUAUUGAUGCACCGAUCAUCUGAUAUAUGGUUGAUGCACCGGUCAUCUGAUCAUAUCAGAUGACUAGUGCACUACGUAUGAUAUAUCACACCAGUCUGAUUGUCAGACUGUUGGAUAGUCAUCCAACUAUCAGAUGAUUAGUGCAACUUUAUGCUUGCACUAGUCAUCUGAUAUAUGGAUGGUGCACCGGUCAUCUAAUAUGAUAUGACAGAUGACUGAUGACCGGUGCACUGUGUAUAAUAUAUCAUGGAGACGAGAUUUUACCAGUGGCGCUGUCGGAGGGAAUGGAGGCCGAGCUUAUCGGUGAU
rnacentral:lncRNA from 1 species